AGACUGGUGAUGAACGCAAAACGUGGACCGUUUCUCAGACGGAAGUCAUUGUGACGUCCCGCUCUGCCUCAUCCCACAGAGCCUGGUGGGGCCGACAUAGCUCAGGAGGUAAACUAACGGGAUUAAAAUCUCGAUCACCAGCCUCUUUGCGCGUCCAGCGGUGAACUUCCCCUCCGAGCCCGUCGGGCGUGGCCCGCGCCUCUGGGUGAGGAUCGCGCGGCGCCGCCCGUUUAGCGUGAUCGCUGGCGCCUGAUGAAACGCCUCGCAUCGGAGUGACAGCCGCCAUUUUGCUCGGGGCCGUCCGAUGGCGGGUACUCCAGAGGUUCAAAUCUUUACCAGUCCUGCUGAAUUACUCACUAAAUAUCCCACUGUGUAGCUGGAAAAUCUGGAUAACGGAAGGGGCCAAGAAUAAGAAUUUUAAAGUGUCUACAGAAGUCAACACCUGCAUGGAAAUGUAGCAAUGUGUGCACGCAAUAUGAUUGUUAAAUUCUUUGCUUCCAAAUUUUUUGAACUUUUUUUUUUGUAUUAUUACUUUGGUUUGUGUGUUUCUGAGGGGGGGUACCUCUCGAUUGGCGCGUUUGCUGGAGUGUUUGAGCAGCUGUGCUAGCCGCUGUGAAUCGGCCCCGCUCUGCUGAAAGCAUUAAGGAAGGCGAAGCAGCCAUUAUGACCCAAUGAGCCGCAGUGCU